UUUUGAAUAUAUAUAUGUCUAUAUCUAUCUAUAUCUAUAUCUAUAUCUAUACUACCUUAAAAGUACCAACUCAAAUUAAACUUAAAGUGAAAUUACUAGUAUACCCCCAGCUCAUUAAAAUAAAAUGAACUUAUUUAAAUUUAAAAAAAAAAAACCAGCACAUUGAACCUGCCUUAUAUUACACAACCCUACAAAUGCGCUGCAAAUUUUCAAAAGACACUAAAAACACUUUUCCACUAGACGCCUCUACCUCAAUUCCUUAACAUGAUGGUUCUAUCACAACACUUUUCCUUCUUCUUUCUCAGGCGACAAGUGCUCACAACAGGUACCUGUCAUGGGUUAGCUAGUAGUCCUUUGGGAUUGUUAGCACAGUAAAGCAUCCGGGGUACCAGACACAGGGCGUUACAUUACAACUCAAAGAACCAACCUAUUACACAAAGUUUACAACUCUCUAAGAAAAGGACCAGGUUCUUUUUCAAGCUAGUGAACUGAUUUGAUGAUUGUUUUUUUUCUUAUUAGUGCCUGAGUGAAACUUUUUUUUUGUAGUCUGUUCUACUUAAGACAAUUUUUGAUCGAGUACUUUAGAUAAUGUAGUCUUCUUUCUUCAAUGGGACUCUCAGUUUGUUUCACUCCUUGUUACCAUCUAUCUCCUUGAUUGGGUAGGACUCAUUUAUUUUCUCAAUCUUCAAGUGUUGAAUUUAUCUUCUCCUCAACUCUUUUCUGUACGUGAUAAAUGUUGACAGUAUAACUGAAUUUUCUUGCUUA